rnacentral:rRNA from 1 species
AGGAAGCACCGGCUAACUCCGUGCCAGCAGCCGCGGUAAUACGGGGGGUGCAAGCGUUGUUCGGAAUUAUUGGGCGUAAAGAGCGUGUAGGCGGUUGGACAAGUCAGAUGUGAAAUCCCUUAGCUCAACUAAGGAAGUGCGUUUGAUACUGUCCGGCUAGAGUAUGGGAGAGGAAAGUGGAAUUCCCAGUGUAGAGGUGAAAUUCAUAGAUAUUGGGAGGAACACCGGUGGCGAAGGCGACUUUCUGGCCUGAUACUGACGCUGAGAUGCGAAAGCGUGGGGAGCAAACAGGAUUAGAUACCCUGGUAGUCCACGCCGUAAACUAUGGGCACUAGGUGUAGGAAGUGUUGACCCUUUCUGUGCCGAAGCUAACGCA